AGCUGCCUGGCACCGUCGCCUCCUCUUCCUCUCUUCUUCCUAGAUGACGCCUCUGUGCACUUCUCGCAUGAUUUUGACCGAGCGCCUCACCUCAACAGCCAACGCCAACAGCAGCAUAGGGAUCUAUGGUGGGGAAGGAGCAGCUGAUGCGGCGUCGGCGGUGGCACGAGAGGAGCGGCGGCGGCGGCGGCGGCGAGCAGCGAAGAGGCGCCGCUCGGGCGAGACGACGGAGGCGGGAGCGGCUGCUCCGGGCCCCGAUCUUGGGAGGGUACGAGGCACGGAAGGGCGCCGUCGUCGUCGUUCGCCGUCGCAGGUCUUCCUUCUGCCCCUUUCGCUCCAUCUCUGAUUAGUCCUCUUCCCAUCUCUCUUGCUCGCCAGUGGCGACUCCUCCCCUGCCUCCUCACGUCGCCCUUGAGUUGGAGGAAACGAGGACAGCUUGCGGGCGAGCUCAAGCCGGUGAAAUAUAUGUGCACAGUGACUGAAUUUAUCAAGGACGAUGGAGCUUGUUGGCCAAUUUUUGUAGUGCUCAUUUGUUUGAUCCUCAUGCAACUACGGUUUGCUCGAGAUCUGUUCUGAAUAUGACUGUGGGCUGUUCAAUACUAUCGGUUUUCAGAACAAAUUUGGACGUUUUCAGUUAGAACAAUAUGCCUGUGCGCCCAGUUGGUAAUGUCCUGCUUUGUUUCUCUAGAUGGUUAGCUACAUGGCGGAGAGCGUUGUGGGCACUUCAUUUGGCAUCGUCUUUCAGGCUAAAUGCUUGGAAACUGGGGAGACGGUGGCCAUUAAGAAGGUACUGCAGCCAGGACCGACGGUCCAAGAACCAUUUGAUGAACCAUUCCAAUGUUGUUCUCCCUCAAGCACUGCUUCUUCUCAACCGCAAGUAGAGAUGAGCCGUUUCUAAACCUUGUCAUGGAGUAUGUCCUAAAGAUACUCUACCGUAUGCUUAAGAACUACAGUAAUGCCAAACAGGGGAUGCCACUUAUCUACGUCAAGCUUUACACCUAUCAGGGGGCUUGUGUAGGUUCAUACUGUUCCUGGAGUCUGCCACGGGGAUGUGAAGCGACAAAAUGUUUGGUGGGCAGGGCCUUUUGAUGGGAAUCAUGUUCAGUAUUCUUGUCCAGGUCUUGCUGUUUGUGGCCAUCACACUGCACACCAUCAGGCAAAAUAAGGCAACGAAGGUGUACAAGUAUACCACAAGGUCAAUGCUAUAUGUGUAUGUAUGUAUGGAUAGGUGCUACUGAAGUGAGAUUCCGAGAAAAUCUGCAUACAAGUAUAUCGCAAGCCGCCAUGUUGACAGGCUGGUAUCUCUUUGUUCCAUUCUAUUGACUUCCUGUGGCAUUAGUAUGAAGCCCUUUGAGCACAAACCUUUCGACUGAAGGACCGUCAUGGGAUUUGGAGUGCUCACUGGCAUCUCAAUUGGGCUUCUCAAUGAGAGUCUAGGUUUCAACUCUGUUGGUUUCUAUCAGGGCAAGUUGAGUGCAUUGGUUGGAUCUAGCUUCUUGAUAUUGCAGAGGACUCGUCAAAAGGCUAGCACUUAUUCUAUAAUGCAUGUCCCUACAUAUUAUAAAGUCAUCCAUUAAUCACACGUGAUGUGUUAGCCUCCCUUUAUAUGUACCGGAGUUUUCUCUAUGUCACUACAAAAUAGGCAUCAAUGUACUUUUAGACAAGACACUCACAAUCAUGAUUCUAUCUUCAUGUAUGUUCAUUUUAGGCGUUAUCUCUUUUGCCUCCACAGGCGCUCAAACUCUAUCCUAUUGUCGGUUUAUUAUUUAGUUAAAACUGAAGGAGAUUGAGUAGGAGCGCCUCUUUUUAUAUAUACAGAAUAUGGAUUCAACAACCAACUUUAGCGAAGAACAAACCAUCAGCAAGUGUAACCUGGGAUAGGUGUGCACAAAUCCUUGAGAAAAGACAUAAUCACAGUGAAAUGCUACUUUCCAGUGAUUUAUUGUGGUCCUUCGAUUUUUCAGUAGGGAGCUCAAAAGGUUUAUAGGAGAGAGGAAGUUGAUUUUCUUCUUAUCCACAUGCUUGCUAGAUGUACAUUUUUUUUCUCUUUCAGUAAUUUGUGUUUCAUGAAAGCUAAUGAUGUUGCAUAGUGUCUUUUUUUACCUGUUCAUUUUAAUUGGGAGAAAGUGUCGCUCUUUCUUGGGAAUUACUAAUUAUAUGGAACAAUAGUCACCUUACAAAGUUCUUCAACUAAAUGUUUUUGUGUGUGCAACUUCGAUUAGUUUUCCUAUUCAUUUGUU